rnacentral:misc_RNA from 1 species
AGACGAUCUUCUCAUUCCAAGCUACUCUUAUCUGAAUGAAACGUUAUACGAUGUCGCUUGUGUGGAGAGAAUAUUAGGAUAUUUUUUAACCGGAUUGGAAGAGAGGUCUACCGCUAGAAUUCAAGGCGAAGAAGAAAACAUCAGUGUCAGAUCCACGGCGCUAAUGUUAGUCGGCAAGUUAAUUGACGGUUACUUAUCAGAAAUAGCCUCUGAUAAUAAUUUACUACCGGAAAAAUUCUGUGAAUUAGCUGUUGCAUUGCCGGACCAAGCAAGACUCUUU